GCCAUGCAUGUCUCAGUGCAGCCGUACGCGUUCGCGCGUCUAGGUGAAACCGCGAAAGGCUCAUUAAAUCAGUUAUGGUUCCUUGGAUCGUACCAAUCCUUUACUUGGAUAACUGUGGUAAUUCUAGAGCUAAUACAUGCCGACAGAGUUCCGACCGCCUCGUGCGGGAGGAACGCUUUUAUUAGAUCAAAACCCAUCGGUCACGUGGCUUCGGUCCGUGCCGACAACACUCGGUUCCGAUUUUUCGGUUCCGAUGAAAGUGGUGAGUCUGAAUAACUUUGUGCUGAUCGCACGGUCUCCGUGCUGGCGAUGCAUCUUUCAAAUGUCUGCCUUAUCAACUGUCGAUGGUAGGUUAUGCGCCUACCAUGGUGGUAACGGGUGACGGGGGAUUAGGGUUCGAUCCCGGAGAGGGAGCCUGAGAAACGGCUACCACAUCCAAGGAAGGCAGCAGGCACGCAAAUUACCCACUCCCAGCUCAGGGGAGGUAGUGACGAAAUAUAACGAUACGGGACUCAUCCGAGGCCUCGUAAUCGGAAUGAGUACACUUUAAAACGUUUAACGAGGAUCCAUUGGAGGGC
rnacentral:rRNA from 1 species